ACUUGAAUAGUUUAUGAAAAAUUUUAAUUUGUGGGGUUAAAGAUAUAAAGAUUUUUAUUUUAAGUA
rnacentral:tRNA from 1 species